AUGCAGACCCUGAGAGCUUUCAGACGGCCAAGCCAUCCACGUGCCUCGCGGGAUGAUUCCAGGCUAGUCCUCUUUCUGCCACCCCCUACGUGGAGCACGUCACAGGUCCUCCGUGUCUGUGAGUCAGCGGCUGGAGGACGGAGCCUCGGGAGGCCUGAGGGGCGGCGUGUGCCCUGUGGAGCCCGCACACGGGAAGGUGCCUCGCAGACCACGGACGUGCAGGGGGGCAUCCCCGGGAGGCUGCGGGGCGUCGGGGCAGAGCUGGGGUCCUCCGGGAGACCCGGAGACGUGCUGGGGAGCAGGGCUGGGGGGGCUGCUCCCCGGGAACCCCACUCCGGGCCGCCUCCCAGGCUUUCCCACUAGGGGGCAGGCAGAGGCAGGAGAAGAGUGAGGUGCUGGCCGGCGGCUCCCACCCAGCACCAAGCCGGCAAGACCAGGCCCCUCUUCCUGCCCUCUUCGGCCCGUGACAUCGCAGACCACGCGGCCACGGUAACCACAGUGGAUGAAUGAAAGAGAGCGAGCGAGAUCCCUGGUUUUCUUAUUUCACUCACCGUUUGUGGGUUUUCUAUCCGUGCCUCACGUGGCCGUUCAUUGUCGGGAACAGUCAAGAUGUACCUGAAAUCUGCCACUUUAUAAAAUGAGAAGGUCGACGGGGGAGGGGCGCCCUGGGGUCCCCGGGUCACCGAGGCUCAAGUCCUCAGGCCCAGUCACCGCUGCCCCCAUCUCCCGCCCAGCGCUCCUCUGUGUACCAACCCGGCAGUUGGAGGGAAACUCAUUUUCUGGAUGGUUCCCACGUGCCUUGAAAAGUCAUUUCCGCCUCCUCAGAAGCUCCAGGUGAGGGAUCCCUGGGUGGCGCAGCGGUUUGGCGCCUGCCUUUGGCCCAGGGCGCGAUCCUGGAGACCCGGGAUCGAAUCCCGCGUCGGGCUCUUGGUGCAUGGAGCCUGCUUCUCCCUAUGCCUGUGUCUCUGCCUCUCUCUUUCUGUGUGACUAUCAUAAAAAAAAAAAAAAAAGAAGCUCCAGGUGAUGGGGACCCUUGAUUGGUGUAAAUGUUUUCUAAUCCCCAAGGAUUAGAGAAAAGCAGCACAACGUUCCUUCUACGCCAGUCGUCCUCUCAUCAAAGUUACGGGGCCCAGACACCGGAGCCUAAAAUAACUAAAGUGAGUAUAAAGGAAUAAACGUCUUCCUAGGCCAGACUACGGAAAUGAA
rnacentral:lncRNA from 1 species